AACUUCAUUCACAAUGUGAAAGUUAAGGUGUUUUAAUGUAAAAUCCUUCUCUACACAUUGAAAACAUGAAGCCUGGAAAGUGAAAAGCUGCUGCCUGCAGGUAAAUAAUGAGGAAAGCACAAAGCCUACAGAUGUGUCCAGAUGUUGCUGACUCAGUCAGUAGAUGGCAGCAUUGCCUUGUAAAUGACAGUGUUUGUGUAUGAAUCUAAAACAGUUGUGAUGAUCUGUAAAUGUGCUGUUGGACCUCAGUCCAUUUCAAUUGUUUGUAUUCAUUUAAAUUCCUAACUUGUUGUCUACAUUAACACAGGUAGGAGCUUCAUGUACAGAUGCACAUACAUGUAUUACACUUAGAGCUUAUUGAAACAAGAGUUCAUGGUUGUGACAGUAGAACAGACUCCCUCACAGCCUGCAUGAUACACAGCUAAAGGACAAUCAGUCCCUGGUCAUGGUACAUAUGUUUGGUAGGUCUGGUCAUGGUACAGGUGUUUGGUAGGUCUGGUCAUGGUACAGGUGUUUGGUAGGUCUGGUCAUGGUGCAGGUGUUUGGUAGGUCUGGUCAUGGUGCAGGUGUUUGGUAGGUCUGGUCAUGGUGCAGGUGUUUGGUAGAUCUGGUCAUGGUGCAGGUGUUUGGUAGGUCUGGUCGUGGUGCAGGUGUUUGGUAGAUCUGGUCAUGGUGCAGGUGUUUGGUAGAUCUGGUCAUGGUGCAGGUGUUUGGUAGAUCUGGUCAUGGUGCAUGUGUUUGGUAGAUCUGGUCAUGGUGCAGGUGUUUGGUAGAUCUGGUCAUGGUGCAGGUGUUUGGUAGAUCUGGUCAUGGUACAGGUGUUUGGUAGAUCUGGUCAUGGUGCAGGUGUUUGGUAGGUCUGGUCAUUGUGCAGAUGUUUGGUAGAUCUGGUCAUGGUGCAGGUGUUUGGUGGGUCUGGUCAUGGUGCAGGUGUUUGGUAGGACUGGUCGUGGUGCAGGUGUUUGGUAGAUCUGGUCAUGGUGCAGGUGUUUGGUAGAUCUGGUCAUGGUGCAGGUGUUUGGUAGGUCUGGUCAUGGUGCAGGUGUUUGGUAGGUCUGGUCAUGGUGCAGGUGUUUGGUAGGUCUGGUCAUGGUGCAGGUGUUUGGUAGGUCUGGUCAUGGUGCAGGUGUUUGGUAGAUAUGGUCAUGGUGAAGGGGGUUUGGUAGGUCUGGUCAUGGUGCAGGUGUUUGGUAGAUCUGGUCAUUGUGCAGGUGUUUGGUAGGUCUGGUCAUUGUGCAGGUGUUUGGUAGGUCUGGUCAUGGUGCAGAUGUUUGGUAGAUCUGGUCAUGGUGCAGGUGUUUGGUAGGUCUGGUCAUUGUGCAGGUGUUUGGUAGAUAUGGUCAUGGUGCAGGUGUUUGGUAGAUCUGGUCAUUGUGCAGGUGUUUGGUAGAUCUGGUCAUUGUGCAGGUGUUUGGUAGGUCUGGUCAUUGUGCAGGUGUUUGGUAGGUCUGGUCAUUGUGCAGGUGUUUGGUAGGUCUGGUCAUGGUGCAGGUGUUUGGUAGGUCUGGUCAUGGUGCAGGUGUUUGUUAGAUCUGGUCAUUGUGCAGGUGUUUGGUAGGUCUGGUCAUUGUGCAGGUAUUUGGUAGGUCUGGUCAUGGUGCAGGUGUUUGGUAGAUCUGGUCAUGGUGCAGGUGUUUGGUAGAUCUGGUCAUGGUGCAGGUGUUUGGUAGAUGUGGUCAUGGUGCAGGUGUUUGGUAGUUCUGGUCAUGGUGCAGGUGUUUGGUAGAUCUGGUCAUGGUGCAGGUGUUUGGUAGGUCUGGUCAUGGUGCUGGUCAUGGUGCAGGUGUUUGGUAGAUGUGGUCAUGGUGCAGGUGUUUGGUAGUUCUGGUCAUGGUGCAGGUGUUUGGUAGAUCUGGUCAUGGUGCAGG